GAGCGUUCUAAGGGCGUCGAAGCAUGAUCGCAAGGACAUGUGGAGCGCUUAGAAGUGAGAAUGCCGGUGUGAGUAGCGAAAGACGGGUGAGAAUCCCGUCCACCGAUUGACUAAGGUUUCCAGAGGAAGGCUCGUCCGCUCUGGGUUAGUCGGGUCCUAAGCUGAGGCCGACAGGCGUAGGCGAUGGAUAACAGGUUGAUAUUCCUGUACCACCUAGUAUCGUUUUAAUCGAUGGGGGGACGCAGUAGGAUAGGCGAAGCGUGCUGUUGGAGUGCACGUCCAAGCAGUAAGGCUGAGUGUUAGGCAAAUCCGGCACUCAUAAGGCUGAGCUGUGAUGGGGAGAGGAAAUUGUUUCCUCGAGUCGUUGAUUUCACACUGCCGAGAAAAGCCUCUAGAUAGAUAACAGGUGCCCGUACCGCAAACCGACACAGGUAGUCAAGAUGAGAAUUCUAAGGUGAGCGAGCGAACUCUCGUUAAGGAACUCGGCAAAAUGACCCCGUAACUUCGGGAGAAGGGGUGCUCUUUAGGGUUCACGCCCAGAAGAGCCGCAGUGAAUAGGCCCAAGCGACUGUUUAUCAAAAACACAGGUCUCUGCUAAACCGUAAGGUGAUGUAUAGGGGCUGACGCCUGCCCGGUGCUGGAAGGUUAAGAGGAGUGGUUAGCUUCUGCGAAGCUACGAAUCGAAGCCCCAGUAAACGGCGGCCGUAACUAUAACGGUCCUAAGGUAGCGAAAUUCCUUGUCGGGUAAGUUCCGACCCGCACGAAAGGCGUAACGAUUUGGGCACUGUCUCAACGAGAGACUCGGUGAAAUCAUAGUACCUGUGAAGAUGCAGGUUACCCGCGACAGGACGGAAAGACCCCGUGGAGCUUUACUGUAGCCUGAUAUUGAAAUUCGGCACAGCUUGUACAGGAUAGGUAGGAGCCUUUGAAACGUGAGCGCUAGCUUACGUGGAGGCGUUGGUGGGAUACUACCCUAGCUGUGUUGGCUUUCUAACCCGCACCACUUAUCGUGGUGGGAGACAGUGUCAGGCGGGCAGUUUGACUGGGGCGGUCGCCUCCUAAAAGGUAACGGAGGCGCUCAAAGGUUCCCUCAGAAUGGUUGGAAAUCAUUCAUAGAGUGUAAAGGCAUAAGGGAGCUUGACUGCGAGACCUACAAGUCGAGCAGGGUCGAAAGACGGACUUAGUGAUCCGGUGGUUCCGCAUGGAAGGGCCAUCGCUCAACGGAUAAAAGCUACCCCGGGGAUAACAGGCUUAUCUCCCCCAAGAGUUCACAUCGACGGGGAGGUUUGGCACCUCGAUGUCGGCUCAUCGCAUCCUGGGGCUGUAGUCGGUCCCAAGGGUUGGGCUGUUCGCCCAUUAAAGCGGUACGCUAGCUGGGUUCAGAACGUCGUGAGACAGUUCGGUCCCUAUCCGUCGUGGGCGUAGGAAAUUUGAGAGGAGCUGUCCUUAGUACGAGAGGACCGGGAUGGACAUACCUCUGGUGUACCAGUUGUCGUGCCAACGGCAUAGCUGGGUAGCUAUGUAUGGACGGGAUAAGUGCUGAAAGCAUCUAAGCAUGAAGCCCCCCUCAAGAUGAGAUUUCCCAACUUCGGUUAUAAGAUCCCUCGAAGAUGACGAGGUUAAUAGGUUCGAGGUGGAAGCGUGGUGACACGUGGAGCUGACGAAUACUAAUCGAUCGAAGACUUAAUCAAUUUUUAAA
rnacentral:rRNA from 1 species